rnacentral:rRNA from 1 species
AUUGAACGCUGGCGGCAGGCCUAACACAUGCAAGUCGAACGAGUGGCGGACGUGUGAGGAAUGUCUGGGAAACUGCCUGAUGGAGGGGGAUAACUACUGGAAACGGUAGCUACAACCGCAUCCCUUCCGCUUUGCCCAGAUGGGAUUAGUGUGUUGGUGGGGCAAAGGCUCACCUAGGCGACGAUCCCUAGCUGGUCUGAGAGGAUGACCAGCCACACUGGAACUGAGACACGGUCCAGACUCCUACGGGAGGCAGCAGUGGGUAAUAUUGCACAAUGGGCGCAAGCCUGAUGCAGCCAUGCCGCGUGUAUGAAGAAGGCCUUCGGGUUGUAAAGUACUUUCAGCGGGGAGGCGUUAACCGCAGAAGAAGCACCGGCUAACUCCGUGCCAGCCGCCGCGGUAAUAC